GGUUCUCUGCAUUUCCUUCUUUUUAGGUUGUCAUUUGUGGCAGUUUGUUCUGUUGUCAGUUGAGUGCGUGUAUCACGAGGUCGAGAAAUCCAGUUAAUACUAUUUUUCGGAAUGGUUGCAGAAGGUAAAACAGAUCAAAUUGAAAACCCAAUUGAUUGACUAGACGGAGGACGGCUUUCCCAAGAACUGUCGACGAAAUAUAUCAAGAUUCCGCGUAAAAGUUGUUGCCAACCCAGGGGGUGGCUGCCGAAGGUACUUCAUAAUUAACAUAACGAAUAGGAAUGUAGACAAAGCAUGAGGAACAAGAAAAGCACUAUAGAUAUUCAAUC